ACUCCUACGGGAGGCAGCAGUGAGGAAUAUUGGACAAUGGACCAAAUGUCUGAUCCAGCAAUUCUGUGUGCACGAUGAAGGUCUUCGGAUUGUAAAGUGCUUUCAGUUGGGAAGAAGAAAGUGACGGUACCAACAGAAGAAGCGACGGCUAAAUACGUGCCAGCAGCCGCGGUAAU
rnacentral:rRNA from 1 species